rnacentral:rRNA from 1 species
AUUGAACGCUGGCGGCAGGCCUAACACAUGCAAGUCGAGCGGAUGAAGGGAGCUUGCUCCUGGAUUCAGCGGCGGACGGGUGAGUAAUGCCUAGGAAUCUGCCUGGUAGUGGGGGAUAACGUCCGGAAACGGGCGCUAGUACCGCAUACGUCCUGAGGGAGAAAGUGGGGGAUCUUCGGACCUCACGCUAUCAGAUGAGCCUAGGUCGGAUUAGCUAGUUGGUGGGGUAGAGGCCUACCAAGGCGACGAUCCGUAACUGGUCUGAGAGGAUGAUCAGUCACACUGGAACUGAGACACGGUCCAGACUCCUACGGGAGGCAGCAGUGGGGAAUAUUGGACAAUGGGCGAAAGCCUGAUCCAGCCAUGCCGCGUGUGUGAAGAAGGUCUUCGGAUUGUAAAGCACUUUAAGUUGGGAGGAAGGGCAGUAAGUUAAUACCUUGCUGUUUUGACGUUACCAACAGAAUAAGCACCGGCUAACUUCGUG